GCGGGCGUGGCGGAAUUGGCAGACGCGUACGGUUCAGGUCCGUAUGGAGGCAACUCCAUGGAGGUUCAAGUCCUCUCGCCCGCACCA
rnacentral:tRNA from 1 species